rnacentral:antisense_RNA from 1 species
AGUGCCAUGGGAAUGAGGAAUGGAGAGGAUCCCAGGAAGCACAGGAGGAAACACAAGUCAAUGCCUCAGAGCCAGGGAACAGGAUGAACAAGAACAAUCAGAAGGUGACCUUGAGCUAAAUGAAGCAAUUGCAGCAGAUCUACAGGUCAGCUGAGGUGGCUCUUUCAAGCUCUGUGGGCUGCUGGAAAAACUGCGCUCCAUAUAUCUCAUUUUGGGACCUACACUGAAGGAGCAGUGGCUACCAAGGAGCUGGAUACAGAUGCAGAAAAACUCCUCAAAGGAUCUGUCGUGGGUGAAGAACAUCGGGUGGAAGUCGUUGCAGGUCUCACUAGCUGGAGGAAAGAGAUGGAAAAUAAGAGAAGUUUUAAAACAGUGAAACACGAGAACAUAACCACAGGUAUGUGCCCCAAAGGGAGACAAGUGGAGGUAUCUUUGGUUCAGGCAAUAAUGGUGAAAAAGUGUUUUUGAAAAAAGCAACCAAAGGAUGGCCCCCAUACAACUCGGAAGUUUAAGGCCAGAUAGUC